GAACGCAGCGAAAUGCGAUAAGUAAUGUGAAUUGCAGAAUUCAGUGAAUCAUCGAAUCUUUGAACGCACAUUGCGCCCGCCAGUAUUCUGGCGGGCAUGCCUGUUCGAGCGUCAUUUCAACCCUCAAGCCCCCGGGCUUGGUGCUGGGGAUCGGCCGUCACGGGCCGGCCCCGAAAUCGAGUG
rnacentral:rRNA from 1 species